rnacentral:rRNA from 1 species
GUGGCGAACGGGUGAGUAACACGUGAGUAACCUGCCCUUGACUCUGGGAUAAGCGUUGGAAACGACGUCUAAUACCGGAUACGAGCUUCAGCCGCAUGGCUAGGAGCUGGAAAGAACUUCGGUCAAGGAUGGACUCGCGGCCUAUCAGGUAGUUGGUGAGGUAACGGCCCACCAAGCCUACGACGGGUAGCCGGCCUGAGAGGGUGACCGGCCACACUGGGACUGAGACACGGCCCAGACUCCUACGGGAGGCAGCAGUGGGGAAUAUUGCACAAUGGGCGAAAGCCUGAUGCAGCAACGCCGCGUGAGGGACGACGGCCUUCGGGUUGUAAACCUCUUUUAGUAGGGAAGAAGCGAAAGUGACGGUACCUGCAGAAAAAGCACCGGCUAACUACGUGCCAGCAGCCGCGGUAAUACGUAGGGUGCAAGCGUUAUCCGGAAUUAUUGGGCGUAAAGAGCUCGUAGGCGGUUUGUCGCGUCUGCUGUGAAAACUGGAGGCUCAACCUCCAGCCUGCAGUGGGUACGGGCAAACUAGAGUGCGGUAGGGGAGAUUGGAAUUCCUGGUGUAGCGGUGGAAUGCGCAGAUAUCAGGAGGAACACCGAUGGCGAAGGCAGAUCUCUGGGCCGUAACUGACGCUGAGGAGCGAAAGCGUGGGGAGCGAACAGGAUUAGAUACCCUGGUAGUCCACGCCGUAAACGUUGGGCGCUAGAUGUGGGG